rnacentral:rRNA from 1 species
GACGAACGCUGGCGGCGUGCUUAACACAUGCAAGUCGAGCGGAAAGGCCCUGCUUUUGUGGGGUGCUCGAGUGGCGAACGGGUGAGUAACACGUGAGUAACCUGCCCUUGACUUUGGGAUAACUUCAGGAAACUGGGGCUAAUACCGGAUAGGAGCUCCUGCUGCAUGGUGGGGGUUGGAAAGUUUCGGCGGUUGGGGAUGGACUCGCGGCUUAUCAGCUUGUUGGUGGGGUAGUGGCUUACCAAGGCUUUGACGGGUAGCCGGCCUGAGAGGGUGACCGGCCAAAUGGGGACUGGGUAACGGCCCAACCUCCUACGGGGGGCAGAGGGGGGGAAUUUUGCAAAAGGGGGGGAAGCCGGAUGCAGAAACCCCGGGGGGGGGAUGACGGCCUUCGGGUGGUAAACCGUUUUCGCCUGUGACGAAGGGUGGGUGACGGUAAUGGGAAAAAAAACCCCGGCUAACUACGG